CACUAAGAAGCUAAAUAGGAUUAGCGUCAGCCUUUUAAGCUGAAGAUUGGUGGCUCCUAACCACCCUUAGUGA
rnacentral:tRNA from 2 species